ensembl:lncRNA
NNNNNNNNNNNAUAUAUAUAUAUAUAUAUAUAUAUAUAUAUAUAUAUAAAAACUUAAAACUUAAAACUUAAAACAGUUGAAUUUUUUUAUUUUUUUUUAUUGAUUGAUUGAAGUUCGUAACAUGUUUAUUAUAGUAAUAUUCAAACAUAUGUUUUAUAAAAGUUUAAAAAAAAAUGUUUGUUUUAAUUAUGUUUCCUUUUUACAUUUCCUAAAAAAGUAACAUUUUUAUAAAUAAUUAAUAAAAAAAAAAUUGUACAAAAAAUUGAUAUAUAUAUAUACACAAAAAUAUAUAAAAAUAUAAACAAAAAGAAAUUGCAAAUAUAUUUAUAUAUACUUAUUACUACUUUGAAAAAGUAUAUAAAAAAAAUAUAUCUUUUGUAAAUGUAUUUUUUUCAUAUUUUUAUUUUUAGUUCGUUAUAUAUGAAAAUAUAAACUAAAUUAUAUAGUUUAUAUAUAUACGAACUGAUAUAUUUUUUUUUGGACAAAAUGUAAAAAUCCGACAUAAAUUUAUUACAUAAAUAUCUAAGUAAAAUAUAAAAAUGCUUAACGAAUGCAUUUAUAUAUAUUAAUUAUUAAUUUGAACUAUGUAUCAUAAAAUUUACAUAGACGUACAUGCACAUGUUUAUGUACAUAUGUAUUAUUUAUAAUGUCGAAUGGGACAAAAGCCACUUAAAGCAACGGCUAAGUAAAAAGAAAAUUGGUUUAAAUACAUAGUAACUUAAAAAUAUAAUAGCGUUAAAACACAGUUACUUAAAAACAUAGUAACUUAAAAAUUGAGUGACGUUAUAACCACAAAUAUGGACUACUUUGAUGAAGACUUACUAUUUGAGAAUAGCUCAAGUGAUGAAAAAACAAAAAAAAACAAAAAAAAAUAUGAAAAUUUUUAUAAAAGCUACAAAAAAAAAAGAAAAAAUACUGAUGUAAAAGAUGAUGAUUAUCUAAAACCAGUAAAAUUUAUCAGUGCAGGUUUUUUAAAUAGAAAUAAAACUAAAAACGAUAAAAAGGAUGUAGAAGAAAAUAAUGAUGAUGUACAUUAUUACUCUACAAGCGAUGAUUCAGGUGAUUCAGAGGAUUAUGAAAAAUAUGACGUAUUUAAACAUUUUGUUUUUGAUUUAAAUUUUGAUGUAGAAAAUCAAGAAUGCAAUUUUAUCAAAGAUAAUUUAAAAAAAUAUAACUUAAACGAACUGAAAGAAAGUGAUAAACAUUUUGAACAAUAUGGUUUAGGAUUUAAAAUAUUAAAAAAAAUGGGUUAUGAAGAUGGAAUAGGAAAAAAAAUAAAAACAAAUAUUGCUCCUAUAGAAGUUAAAAAAAAACACGCACGAUUUAUGGAAGAAAAAAAAAAUAAAUAUUCUGAUGAUUAUAACUUUGAAGAUGACAAUUAUAAGGAUUAUAACUUUGAAGAUGAUAAUUAUAAUGAUAUUUUUGAUACACUCAAAGAUAUUAAUAACGUAUGGAAAAAAAAUGGAACUAAUUGUAAAAAGUAUUGGAAUUUUAAUAAAAUAAAAAAUCAAGUCAAAGAUUGGUUAAACUACCAAGCUUCUUAUUUACCAAACGAAAUAUCUGAUUAUAAUUAUGAUCAAAUGGAUGACACAUAUAUACGUAAUAUACAGAAUGUUCAACACAACAUGAAUCAAUAUAUUAAAAAAUUAUCGAUAGAGUAUUUUGAUGCUAAAAAAAAAAAAAAACUUUUACAAAAUAAAUUAAAAAAUUAUAAAAAAAGCACAAACGAAAAUGACAUGUACAAAACGCAUUUGUUAAUUUUAAAAAAUAUAUUAACAUAUAAAUAUUUACUUAAUCUACAUACAAUACUUGCUUAUCCACCUCUAUUAUCCAAUAAAACGUAUAAUGAAUAUCUGUUUGAGUAUAAUCAUAAUUAUAAAAAACAAAUGCAAAUAGAAGAACAUAACAAUGAUGAUAAACAUAUGGAACAAGACGUAACGCAGCCAAAUAGUACCGUUAAUACAACUGAUGAUGAUAAGUUAAUAAAUAUCAACAAUCCUCAUUUAUCUAAUGUAUACAACAAAAACAAUGAAACAUACUACGCACAAGUUGCGAAUAAUUUAUUUGAAACUUACGAUGUUAAUGAUAAUGACACAUUUGAAAAAAAACUAAAUGACAUACUAAUAAAAAAUUAUAAAACAUUAUGUGAACAAAAUUAUUUUAAAAAUGUUCAAAAGGAAUCUAAAAAACAUACAUUAAAACAUAACAAUACAUAUAAAUUAUUAGAAAAUUUGGAAAAUAUAUACCAUUUAAUAAAUAUUAAAAAUAUUCAAGUUAAAAAAAAAAACGAUCCAUUAUUUUUAAGUGAUUUAUAUAUUUUUAUGUUUUUUAUUUAUGAAAAUUCGAAGUUCUUAUGUUUAAAUAAACAUGUGUCCUUUUUUUUUUUAGAAUUCUUAAGAGUUUAUUUUUAUAAUAAACAAAAUCAAAAUAUUCAAGAAAGUUCAAGAAAUGAUAUAUUAUUAAGUGAAAAACAGCAUGACGAAAUUAUAACAGACAAUCCGCAAAACGUGUUGCGCCAACAAAUAGAGUUAGCAGAAGAAGAACAUAUACAGACAGAUUUGAUCCAUUCCGCCGAUGCACAAACAAAUCAAAAUGCUAUGAAUCACAUAAAACACAAUACUUACAAAAAUAUUAAAAACCUUAACAAUAAUGAAACAAUCAAUGAAAAUAACAUAAAAUAUUUAAUACAUUUUAAAAAAUUAGUUCUUAUGGGCAUUAAUGAACAUAAUACAACAGAAUGUCAUAAUGUUGAAAUUCAAUUUGAUAAUAUAAUAUAUUUUAAUUUAAUUUAUAAUCAAAUUGAACAACAAAAUUAUUAUGAUUUUUUUAAUUAUAUAACACUUUUUAAAGAUGUUUUUAGUAACAAUUAUUACAAAAAAAUUUUAAUAUUUUUUAUUAAAAAAAAAAUAAUAACAAAUAUAACUGACAGUGAAAAAAACCAACUAAAUGAAAACAUCCUUUUAGACAUAAAAUUAAAAUUAUCUUUAUUAUUUCAUAUUAAUAAACAGUUUGAUAUUAGUUCUUACAUAAAUCAAUAUUAUACACAAACCUUAUCCAACUAUUUACGCUAUUAUGAUAUAUCAGCUAAUUACAUAAAAUUAAUUAAAUUAACAAUUAAAAAUAAUAUGUACAAAAAAAGAAAUUUUUG